UGGCAACACAGGUUACAACUGACCCCAUCCUCACCUACCUCAACGGCUUCGUGGGAUAUAAGACCUAAAAUUCACAAUCAGAGCUACAGAGGGCCGAGUCUCCCCAAAAAGCAUCACGGUAUCGCAUCGCAGACUCUCCAUGCCAGUUCAGCUGUUCACACUGGCACAGUAUCAGUUUAAUGCACAAAAGGUCUGCGAAACAGCUGGAGACACGUGGACUCAAAGAACAACCUCGUCUUCGAAGCCUAUGAUUUGGCUUGGACUGACAUCUUAGUUUAAUUAUUGUUAUAAUCAAAAUGUGUUGAGUGUCUAUACUUUCUAUGCUGGUUUUCUAUGAUACAGUAGUUCUGGCUGGCAGAUAGAUCACACGUGUAUAUUAAUGCCUCAUCUAACAAGGACGUUAGGUCUAACUGGAAAAAAAAAUAUUAGUGUACGAUUACAGAGUGUAUCCAAUUAUAGAAAUGGCUGGAAAUAUAAACUUAAAUAAUAUAUAAACACAUAAACUUUUAGCCAGUCCCAAACAUACUAGCUGGCGACUUUUUUUAUUUAUUGGAUUUUAAUCUUUAUUACAUAGCUCUUACCCAGAUUAGCAGCUGUGUGAUGACCACAUUGGCCAUGGCGCAGGAGAGGUGCAGCGCUGUGCGGCCGUCCCCGUCGCCGUAAGUCUCGUUCACCUCAUCCUUCGUGCCGUGAGCCAGCAGCAGCACCACCAUCCUCAAGUCGUCCUCCACCACGGCCCGCAGGAGCUGCUGCCCCAGGGGCACGUCCGACUGCGGCAGGCCCACAAGGAACAGCUUCUGCUCGUACUUCGCCCUGAUCCAGCGUUCCUUCUCCUCCCUGAAUUGGGGGGGGGGGGGCAGAUAGAAAAAGAAGAGAAAACAUACGGCGGCAGUGAAAAGGCUGGAGACUGUAAAAGAGAAGAAGCGACAGAAAGGGGCCCCGGACGUUCUCCCGUUCUGCGGUUUGGGACGGAGAUGAAGGGGGUCCACACACGUGCACUCAAGCGGAACCGCAAAAUUGUCCUAGGAGUCUGCUUUAGAGUCUGCGGCGCUAGCGAGAGGCUCGAAUAGAGUCGUGCGAUCAAAUUUAACAUCAAAGUGCUCUUGAAAUAACGUUAGAGUCAGGAUCUGAUUCUGGACGUCAGGGAGCGAGUGGGACGGAUUUUUAUUUUGGACCGAUUAGGCGCAACGGUUGUACAUGUUUGAGACAAGAUGACUAUUUUGGAGGAGGAAUGAGCACACACACACGCACGCACAACCAUCAUUCAGCAGAGAAAGUGAAUAACCAUGCCGGAAAACGCAGGGGCGGGGCUAAUACGUUCUCAAGACCAUUUGAUUGGACACAAUUUGCAUGAGUACAGGACAAGUCAAGAUGCUUUUUCCUUCUGAAAUUUUUUAAGUACAAAAUUAAAAUAAGUAAACCUUUUUUUUUUCUGGGCGUACACCCGAUGUCUACUGUAACAGAAGCACCUGCCAUUUCAGGCAAUUACCCAGUCAGCCAAUCAUGCACAAGGGUCUGAAAUGUUGACAAAGAAUGGUGCGGAAGACAAAAAACAUCCAGAAUCACCUUGCUGAUGAAAGAGAGGUUAGAGGAGAAUGCUACGAUAAUGCAAAUAACCACUCUGUACAGCCGUGAUGAGCAGAAAAGCAUCAACGUGUCGAGCCGUGAUUCAUGUAAGCAGGGGUACAGGUGUUCCUAUUAAAGUGAACGUAUAUAUACACUGGCUUUUUUUGGCAUCUACAGCACCAAGAGCCUCUAACACCUCCAUUUCUGUUUAAACCGUCAAGACUGCGGACAAUCUGCUCGGCUGUAUUAAUUCCUGCGGAAUGAAGGGAGAAGGGCAACGAAGAAGAGAUCCCGCCUCUGCCUCCUGUUUGAGACGGCGCCGCGAAAGCAAACAAGUACCCGGCCGGCGCGAGGGGCUGUGGGAGAAAGCCGAGAAGCCUUGAAAAGGACGCUUCCUCUCGGCAGGAGGAAGGAAAAAUAAAAACGAGCAGCUUUAGCAUGUCAAAAGAGAGACAGAGGGAGCGAAAGA